rnacentral:hammerhead_ribozyme from 1 species
AUCCAGCUGACGAGUCCCAAAUAGGAUGAAAACACCGUUCUGGAU